rnacentral:rRNA from 1 species
AGUGAACGCUGGCGGUAGGCCUAACACAUGCAAGUCGAACGGCAGCACAGUAAGAUUUUGCUCUUACCGUUGGCGAGUGGCGGACGGGUGAGGAAUACAUCGGAAUCUACUUUUUCGGGGGGGAUAACGUAGGGAAACUUACGCUAAUACCUCAUACGACCUACGGCUGAAAGCAGUGGAUCUUCGCACCUUUCGCGAUUGUAUGAGCCGAUGUCGGAUUAGCUAGUUGGCGGGGUAAAGGCCCACCAAGGCGACGAUCCGUAGCUGGUCUGAGAGGAUGAUCAGCCACACUGGAACUGAGACACGGUCCAGACUCCUACGGGAGGCAGCAGUGGGGAAUAUUGGACAAUGGGCGCAAGCCUGAUCCAGCCAUACCGCGUGGGUGAAGAAGGCCUUCGGGUUGUAAAGCCCUUUUGUUGGGAAAGAAAAGCAGCAGGUUAAUACCCCGCUGUUCUGACGGUACCCAAAGAAUAAGCACCGGCUAACUUCGUG